rnacentral:lncRNA from 1 species
GUCAAAGCAACCUAUCCCACAUGAUUUGAGCCACAUAUCAACUUGACAAGUGAACUUUAAUGAUAUGGGAACAUCCUAAUUAAGGAACUCCCAAUAGUUUACUUGAUCAUAAAGUUGCAAAUUCUUUGGAUCCAAACAACCUUUCAGAGAAAAUCCUUAAUUCUAGGUGUAUCAUAAUUUUAUUAAUUUGCUACUAAAGAUUCUAUUUCUUGGUUAGGAACUUUAUGCCUCCUGUAAAUGGCUUCUGUCAGUUACAUGCAGAUCAUGCAUAGAUAUGUUGUUGCAAUAGGAAGAGAAUAAUGCUCUUAAAAAUUCCAUGAAAGGCCAGAAUUUUGCUGGUUGGUUGGUGCAAUGUUGGCUAUCAGAAUUGAGGAAAUCAUAUCAUCCUGAUUAAAAUUCCAACACUUCUUGGUAUUCCCUUCUUUUAGGGUGUUUUUUCUCUUCUGAGUUAAGAUGCCCUUCAUCUCCAGCUUUCAGCAUUUCAUAGGCCAAUGACUCCGAGCUGUUCUCAUUUAAUUGCCUCCCCAAGUCCUACUAUAGUAUUAGAAAAACCUUAAAGGACAUCCUCGAGUGCCUCUCUAAACAUUUUCAUGUGCCUCAAGCAGGUUGUGGAGGAAGCACUGGUCAAAGUAUUCAACAUUAAAAGUGAAGAAGCCCUGCAGUUGGCGUAGCUCGAGGCACGACAAGAAGCAGCUGUUGCUAAUCGAAGCGACCUGCUUUUCUUGUACAGGAUCAGAGUAACAGCAAUACAAAGGUGCAUUAUAUCAGACUUCGCAAAACCUCGAUUUAUAAUGAAGUUGAUGUGUGUCUAUGUUGAUCAAUGACACUGGUAAUUGCUGAGACUUUUACCAGUCGACUUCCAAGUAACCAGCAAGUUCUAGUGGUAGAAGAAGUUUACAUGAUUGUU